rnacentral:rRNA from 1 species
UCCUGCUCAGAUUGAACGCAGCGGGAUGCCUUACACAUNAAGUCGAACGGCAGCACGGACUUCGGUCUGGUGGCGAGUGGCGAACGGGUGAGUAAUGUAUCGGAACGUGCCCAGUAGCGGGGGAUAACUACGCGAAAGCGUAGCUAAUACCGCAUACGCCCUACGGGGGAAAGCAGGGGAUCGNAAGACCUUGCACUAUUGGAGCGGCCGAUAUCGGAUUAGCUAGUUGGUGGGGUAACGGCUCACCAAGGCGACGAUCCGUAGCUGGUUUGAGAGGACGACCAGCCACACUGGGACUGAGACACGGCCCAGACUCCUACGGGAGGCAGCAGUGGGGAAUUUUGGACAAUGGGGGAAACCCUGAUCCAGCCAUCCCGCGUGUGCGAUGAAGGCCUUCGGGUUGUAAAGCACUUUUGGCAGGAAAGAAACGUCAUGGGUUAAUACCCCGUGAAACUGACGGUACCUGCAGAAUAAGCACCGGCUAACUACGUGCCAGCAGCCGCGGUAAUACGUAGGGUGCAAGCGUUAAUCGGAAUUACUGGGCGUAAAGCGUGCGCAGGCGGUUCGGAAAGAAAGAUGUGAAAUCCCAGAGCUUAACUUUGGAACUGCAUUUUUAACUACCGGGCUAGAGUGUGUCAGAGGGAGGUGGAAUUCCGCGUGUAGCAGUGAAAUGCGUAGAUAUGCGGAGGAACACCGAUGGCGAAGGCAGCCUCCUGGGAUAACACUGACGCUCAUGCACGAAAGCGUGGGACAA